rnacentral:rRNA from 1 species
GACGAACGCUGGCGGCGUGCUUAACACAUGCAAGUCGAACGGAAAGGCCCUGCUUUUGUGGGGUGCUCGAGUGGCGAACGGGUGAGUAACACGUGAGUAACCUGCCCUUGACUUUGGGAUAACUUCAGGAAACUGGGGCUAAUACCGCAUAGGAGCUCCUGCUGCAUGGUGGUGGUUGGAAAGUUUCGGCGGUUGGGGAUGGACUCGCGGCUUAUCAGCUUGUUGGUGGGGUAGUGGCUUACCAAGGCUUUGACGGGUAGCCGGCCUGAGAGGGUGACCGGCCACAGUGGGACUGAGGUAGGGCCCAGACGGCUACGGGAGGCAGCAGUGGAGAAUAUUGCACAAUGGGCGGAAGCCUGAUGCAGCAACGCCGCGUGCGGAAUGACGGCCUUCGGGGUGUAAACAGCUUUCGCCUGUGACGAAGCGUGAGUGACGGUAAUGGGUAAAGAAGCACCGGCUAACUACGUG